rnacentral:rRNA from 1 species
CCGGCACGAGGUAGGGGUAACGGACGUAUGACUAACUUACCUAUACGAGGGAGGGGGACGACCGGAAGUCGGACUAAUACCGCAUGAAGCAGGGGCCCCGCAUGGGGAUACUUGCUAAAGAUUCAUCGCUGAUAGAUAGGCAUGCGUUCCAUUAGGCAGUUGGCGGGGUAACGGCCCACCAAACCGACGAUGGAUAGGGGUUCUGAGAGGAAGGUCCCCCACAUUGGUACUGAGACACGGACCAA